AAUGUUUUGUAUUUAUUUGUGAUUUUUUUUUCUUUGAAAGUAUUUUAUAAACCAGUAUCCGCAGUCUGCUCUGCAUAAUCUUCAUUGCACUCUAUGCAUAUUUCUUUAUUGCCAGUAGAUGUCACCCUUACACAUAAAAAUACAAGACUUUUUUGAACAGGGUGAGAUAACACUGUAUGAGUCACUUCAGUAUUGCUUCUGUGAUGCAUGUGAGCUACCUAGCAAA